AUCAUUGGGUUUAAAGGGUCCGUAGGCGGUUUAGUAAGUCAGUGGUGAAAGCCCAUCGCUCAACGGUGGAACGGCCAUCGAUACUGCUAGACUUGAAUUAUUAGGAAGUAACUAGAAUAUGUAGUGUAGCGGUGAAAUGCUUAGAGAUUACAUGGAAUACCAAUUGCGAAGGCAGGUUACUACUAAUGGAUUGACGCUGAUGGACGAAAGCGUGGGUAGCGAACAGGAUUAGAUACCCUGGUAGUCCACGCCGUAAACGAUGGAUACUAGCUGUUGGGUGCAAGUUCAGUGGCUAAGCGAAAGUGAUAAGUAUCCCACCUGGGGAGUACGUUCGCAAGAAUGAAACUCAAAGGAAUUGACGGGGGCCCGCACAAGCGGUAAUCGAAU
rnacentral:rRNA from 1 species